UAGCCGAUCCCGAUGCCGCCUGUGGUACGAUCGCUGGCGGUGGGCGCGCCGUCACCGGAACCGCCGCUAUGCCCUCACCCUCUGCCGCUCCAGGUACGUGAGUCGAGGGUGCGGGCGGGCCACCGCCUUCAUUUGCCGUCGCAGCCGCCGCCGUGAUCUGCCGCUCCAAUAGAUCCUGGAGCCGCUCAAAUCGGGUCUCC
rnacentral:lncRNA from 1 species